CGGGCGGGAGGAGGGGAGUGCGCGCGAGGGAGGGGAGGGCACAAGUGAACGCAGGAGGAAGGCUGGCAUCCGCUUCUGGCACUCCAGAAAAAAAAAAAAACAUGGAAUUUUGAGAUGGGGUGGUGGGAGUAGGGGGACUUGGUGGGGGGCUGUCAGGCGGCGGUUGCUUAGCGAAGCCCAGAAGAGUGGGUCAUCGGGCUGCAGCCCAGGCCUCGCUAGCCCGGGAAAACAAUGCAGAGUUGCCAAGGGACACUGGACUGGCGCGACCCCUCGCCUUUUCCAUAGCCCCAACGCCCUGGACCCUAUUCUGUUGUAAACCAGACUCGGUCCAGCAGUCCCCGCCCCAAAACAAUCAGAAAACUCAGGUUGAUGCAGAGUCCAGACACACCUCCACCUCGUGUCUCUGGUAGAAGUAAAUUGAAGACAUUGGAUGGCCUGCAUAAGCCUCCGGGAGCAGAGGUGGCCUGCAGUCCGAGAGCCGGUGCCGGCUUCUGUGUCCUGUGGUCAAUUUCCUCUCCAGCAGAGCUUGGCACCUUAGGACCCUGUUCUGCCCUGCCGUCGUAAAAUUUUUUUUUUUAAGUCGGCGGCGGCGAUCUCCUCUGCAUCUCCAACUCCCGGCGGUUGGGAACUUGGCCAGAGUGUGACGGACACACACCCUGGCUGGACUCCCAAGUCCGAGGCGUCCACGGCAGCUCCUGCUCUGUGGCGCCACCUGGUGGGCGGCGUGCGAGGUUGCGGCGGGCUCGGUAGACGGUCUAAUCACGCCCAGGCGCCAGCUUCUGAAACCCCCCAAAAGAACAAAAUAGUAAUUAAAAGCCACAAAAUUGUGCUGCUGCGCGCCAUCUGAAGCACCCUUUCCUAAAGACAUAACAUGUCGCCGAAGGAACUUGUUACAACAACUGCCUAAUGGAAAACAAGUUGAUACUUUGAAAAAUAUAAUCUUCCGUCUUCUUCCCCAGAAAAAGCAAGCGUGUAAUUAAAACCCCAGCCUUCACACAGCGGAAUAAUGAGGCAGGUAGUGCGCCUUCAAGUCGGCCUGGCGGUAGUUCCAGCCUUCCGUUGGGUUCAGGAGGGUCCCGAGAUGGGGAAGAGCGAGUUUAUUGGAAAGCACUCUGCGUGGCGGGCUGCAGCUACAAGGUGAACCGCUUGUCCGUUGGGGUCUUGACUUCAAAUUCCAACUCUUUCUUUCUGCCAGUAAAGCAGUAGCUGUUUUCACCUAAUAUAGAAAAUAAAAAUAAAAAUAAAAAACCCGUCCA
rnacentral:lncRNA from 1 species